AUUGAACGCUGGCGGCAGGCCUAACACAUGCAAGUCGAACGAGUGGCGGACUGGUGAGUAAUGUCUGAGAAACUGCCUGAUGUAGGGGGAUAACUACUGUAAACGGUAGCUAAUACCGCAUACCAUGCGAUGUGCCCAGAUGGGCUUAGCUAGUAGGUGGGGUAAUGGCUCACCUAGGCGACGAUCCCUAGCUGGUCUGAGAGGAUGACCGGGCACACUGGAACUGAGACACGGCCCAGACUCCUACGGGAGGCAGCAGUGGGGAAUAUUGCACAAUGGGCGAAAGCCUGAUGGAGCAAUGCCGCGUGUAUGAAGAAGGUUUUCGGGUUGUAAAGUACUGUCAGUGGGGAAGCGUUACUCGCAGAAGAAGCAACGGCUAACUCCGUGCCAGCAGCCGCGGUAAUUC
rnacentral:rRNA from 1 species